AUUGAACGCUGGCGGCAGGCCUAACACAUGCAAGUCGAACGGUAGCACAGAGAGCUUGCUCUCGGGUGACGAGUGGCGGACGGGUGAGUAACGUCUGGGAAACUGCCCGAUGGAGGGGGAUUACUACUGGAAACGGUAGCUAAUACCGCAUAACGUCGCAAGACCAAAGUGGGGGACCUUCGGGCCUCACACCAUCGGAUGUGCCCAGAUUGGAUUAGCUAGUAGGUGGGGGAAUGGCUCACCUAGGCGACGAUCCCUAGCUGGUCUGAGAGGAUGACCAGCCACACUGGAACUGAGACACGGUCCAGACUCCUACGGGAGGCAGCAGUGGGGAAUAUUGCACAAUGGGCGCAAGCCUGAUGCAGCCAUGCCGCGUGUAUGAAGAAGGCCUUUGGGUUGUAAAGUACUUUCAGCGGGGAGGAAGGCGGUGAAGUUAAUAACUUCACCGAUUGACGUUACCCGCAGAAGAAGCACCGGCUAACUCCGUGCCAGCCGCCGCGGUAA
rnacentral:rRNA from 1 species